AAAAUGUCCCUUUUUUUACGUAAAAUGUCUUACAGAUUUUAUUUCUGUAAGACAUUUCCCAUUCCUUCACCCUCAUCAGAGAGCAGUCCGUCUCCUUUCCUCCCCGUCCAUCAGCGUCAGCCUCUUCUCCUUAUCUUGGGUGUGCUUUUUAUCAACAGAAUGGGUCAGGGCAACAAAGAAAGGACAACCAAGCAAUUCAGGUGGACAAAACCAAUGGAAUAUAUUUUUUCUCAAAAUUCUAGCAGAUGGGGCCCAAAAAGGAAAUAAGCCUUCUAACACUUUCAAAGCAGUUUCUAUUAAUCGAGUAGCUAUAGCUAUUUCUGAAAAAUUCCAAGUUCAAUGUGAUUCUAAGCAUGUGGAAAAUCAUUUGAGGACUGUAAAAAAUCAAUGGCAAAUAAUAUGCAAUUCGAGCCAAAAGUGGUUUUGGAUGGGAUGAUAACAUGAAAAUGAUCACAUGUGAUAGAUCGACAUAUGAUACAAUAGUAAUGAUAAUAUAUUUAUAUAUAUGUUAAAUAUAUCUUAGCAUUAUAUUAUUUACUUGUUAUCCUAAUUAUGUAUAAUAUCCAACAAGCACACAAGAAGUAUGAACCAUUUUUUAAUAAAAGCAUUUAUCAUUAUGAUGAAAUGGCUUUGGUUGUUGGCAAAGAUAUGGUAAUAAAGAGUUUUGCUAGAACAUUUGCUGACAUAGACUUGGAUGACAUUAACCAAGAUUCAUUGCCUAUAGACUACGACAUUAAGGAGAUUGAGAUUGCAAAUGCAUUGGAACAAUUUACUGCAGAUAAGACACCACAUCUUUACGAAGAAAUGAUGUCGAUGGAGGUGGAAGGAUUUGAUGACGGCUUCCUUUGUAGUGUGUUUGAUUAUCUUGUGAGUCGUGAAUCGGAGGCCAAAACCUUCUUAGUCAAAAGUACGAAGCAUAGACUUCAAAAAUUUUCUCAAGGUUGAAGAUAUAUAUGCUUUAAUGUGGUGUAGUACUAAUUAUAUGGUGUAAUACUAGUUAUGCACUUGGACAAUAUUGUAAUUAUCAUGUGGUGUACUACUAAUUAUGUAUUUGGAUAAUAUUCUUAAUUUGUAAUUAUCAUGUGGUGUACUUCUAAUUUGUAAUAUUAGUUAUGGAAAAUAUUAUAGUUAUCAUGUGGUAA